UUACGGCCAUAUCACGUUGAAGCACCGGUUCUCAUACGAUCGCCAAAGUUAAGCAACGUCGAGCGUGGUCAGCAGCUAGAUGGGUGUCCACUUGAGAAUACCAGGUAAUGUAAG